GUAGUAACAGAAGCUUCUGGCAUUAACACAAUGCUUUAGAAAGACCCAUAUAUCUCUGCCCUGCUUCACACUUGAGAUAGAAACAAGAGAUGGAGAAACUAAAGCUCGGAGAGAUUAAGUACAUCGCUCAGUGUCACACAGCUCGCAAAAUGCGUUCACUGAAUCUCCAGGCUCCUGCCUCCAUACGGAACAUGAAUCAGACAUUUCAGUAGCUAACGGGAAGUGACAUGGUUUCUCUCCAGCUUAUUUCUUAACAUAGGCAAGAAACCCAGCGUGCAAAACAUCCCCAGAUGGGAACCAAAACUACUCCUUGAAGCAAUAAGGACUGCCCUGAGCCAGCAAGAGUCACGUGACCGACCCCAAGACAAGGAUCAAUUUGAUCUUCACUGCCCCCCUGCACUUUCCCGCCCACCUUUGUCCCCCAUUUUCCUCAUAAACUUGGAAGUAUUUCCAGCACUUUGCAGACCGUCUGAGACACUAGUCUGCUGUCUUCCCGGUGUC